CGCCCGCUCAGCAACUCAAAGGAAUUGACGAGGGCCCGCACAAGCGGUGAGCAUGUGGUUUAAUCGAUGAUACGCGAAGAACCUUACCUGGUCUUGACAUCCCGGAGACCCUUAGGAAACUAGGGGGUGCUUCCAUCUGGAAGAAUCUGGAGACAGGUGCUGCAUGGCUGUCGUCAGCUCGUGUCGUGAGAUGUUGGGUUAAGUCCCGCAACGAGCGCAACCCUUGCCUUUAGUUGCCAGCAGUUCGGCUGGGCACUCUAAAGGGACUGCCGGUGUUAAACCGGAGGAAGGUGGGGAUGACGUCAAGUCCUCAUGGCCUUUAUGACCAGGGCUACACACGUACUACAAUGGCCGAUACAAAGGGCAGCGACACUGCGAGGUGAAGCCAAUCCCGUAAAAUCGGUCUCAGUCCGGAUUGGAGUCUGCAACUCGACUCCAUGAAGUUGGAAUCGCUAGUAAUCGUGGAUCAGCAUGCCACGGUGAAUACGUUCCCGGGCCUU
rnacentral:rRNA from 1 species